rnacentral:rRNA from 1 species
AUUGAACGCUGGCGGCAGGCUUAACACAUGCAAGUCGAGCGGGGGAAGGUAGCUUGCUACUGGACCUAGUGGCGGACGGGUGAGUAAUGCUUAGGAAUCUGCCUAUUAGUGGGGGACAACAUCUCGAAAGGGAUGCUAAUACCGCAUACGUCCUACGGGAGAAAGCAGGGGAUCUUCGGACCUUGCGCUAAUAGAUGAGCCUAAGUCGGAUUAGCUAGUUGGUGGGGUAAAGGCCUACCAAGGCGACGAUCUGUAGCGGGUCUGAGAGGAUGAUCCGCCACACUGGGACUGAGACACGGCCCAGACUCCUCCGGGAGGCAGCAGUGGGGAAUAUUGGAAAAUGGGGGGAACCCUGAUCCAGCCAUGCCGCGUGUGUGAAGAAGGCCUUAUGGUUGUAAAGCACUUUAAGCGAGGAGGAGGCUACUUUAGUUAAUACCUAGAGAUAGUGGACGUUACUCGCAGAAUAAGCACCGGCUAACUCUGUGCCAGCAGCCGCCGUAA